UACGUAGGGUGCGAGCGUUGUCCGGAAUUAUUGGGCGUAAAGAGCUCGUAGGCGGUUUGUUGCGUCGGCUGUGAAAUCCCGAGGCUCAACCUCGGGUCUGCAGUCGAUACGAGCAAACUAGAGUGUUGCAGGGGAGACUGGAAUUCCUGGUGUAGCGGUGAAAUGCGCAGAUAUCAGGAGGAACACCGGUGGCGAAGGCGGUUCUCUGGGCAUUACCUGACGCUGGAGGAGCGAAAGUGUGGGGAGCGAACAGG
rnacentral:rRNA from 1 species